GAUUAACGCUGGCGGCGUGCAUAACACAUGCAAGUCGAACGAUGAAACUUAAAUGAUUUCUUCGGAAUGAACUUAAGUGGAUUAGUGGCGGACGGGUGAGUAACGCGUGAGUAACCUGCCUUACACAAGGGGAUAGCCGUUGGAAACGACGAAUAAUACCCUAUGAAACUAUCACUUCGCAUGAAGCGAUAGUCAAAGUGUUAGCGGUGUAAGAUGGACUUGCGUCUGAUCAGCUAGUAGGUGAGAAAAAAGCCCACCAAGGCAACGAUCAGUAGCCGGCUUGAGAGAGUGUACCGCCACAUUGGGACUGAGACAAGGCCCAGACUCCUACGGGAGGCAGCAGGGGGGAAUGUUGCACAAUGGGGGAAUCCCUGAUGCAGCGACGCCGCGUGAUUUAGAAGGCCUUCGGGUUGUAAAAAGCUUUUGUAUAGGAAGAAAAUGACAGUACUAUACGAAUAAGGUCCGGCUAAUUACGUG
rnacentral:rRNA from 1 species